rnacentral:rRNA from 2 species
GGGUCGUAAAACUUUUUUGUUAGGGAAGAACAAGUGCUAGUUGAAUAAGCUGGCACCUUGACGGUACCUAACCAGAAAGCCACGGCUAACUACGUGCCAGCAGCCGCGGUAAUACGUAGGUGGCAAGCGUUGUCCGGAAUUAUUGGGCGUAAAGCGCGCGCAGGCGGUUUCUUAAGUCUGAUGUGAAAGCCCCCGGCUCAACCGGGGAGGGUCAUUGGAAACUGGGAAACUUGAGUGCAGAAGAGGAAAGUGGAAUUCCAAGUGUAGCGGUGAAAUGCGUAGAGAUUUGGAGGAACACCAGUGGCGAAGGCGACUUUCUGGUCUGUAACUGACGCUGAGGCGCGAAAGCGUGGGGAGCAAACAGGAUUAGAUACCCUGGCAGUCCAAGCUCUA